AUGGAAAAGGAGAGAGAAGAUACCCUUUACCAAAAGGAGUCACUGAGACCUUAUGGAGAAGAAGGAGAGAGAAGAUACCUUUUACCAAAAGGAGUCGGACCAGCAGCUGUACACUUACAGUAUUGUUCGGAUUUUCUUAGAGGACCUAAGGCAGGUGGCAUCAAGCCAGCCCUCCCCCGCCUCCCUCUAGAGCCCCCUGGGAGCCGAGUGCGGGGCGCAGGCUUGAUGGCCCGGCCCGCGGAGGACAGGGCACCUCGCUGCCCAGAUGGCACCGCCGCCUGCCUUCCUGCCAAGGACGGGACAAGCCGCAAAUUUCCCGCCGACCAUGUGUGAUCUCUGUGGUCUUCCUCCCAAGCUCUUCCUCCAGCCACCCUCGACUGCAAAGGCGGCUCUACUCCUGGCUCUCCAGCACCAAGUGGCUUCAAGAAAGAGAAAAUAAGGACACUAGGCCUCUGGGCCGUGGAGUGGCCCCAUCAGGAAGCUGACAGGGAGUAAAAUGCCACCUACACGGGGCCUCUGUGUGGCCUUGAGUGAGUGUGUCCCAACGAGCUUCGGAGUUUUCACCUGGGCCACAUAGGUGCCGUGGGACAGAGCGUCCCAGGUUUCUCCGGGUGCCAAGGAACCGAGGGCCCGGGCCUGCCUUUGAGAGCUGGUACAAAGCCGUCCUCCUCCUCCUCCUCCAGGGCUGCGAGGUGGCAGGUCUUCCUCCCUCUCCUGGCACCAGGGCACCAGGCUGCAGGGACAGCGCUGGGGCCUGAGUGACAAGGAAACGAGCUGGGAAAGGCUGUUUGCAGGGAGGAGGAGCAGCCCAGAACCACCAACGCCCUGCGUGCAGGGCCCAACCCGCGCAGGGUCCCAGGGGACCCGGACCCGGACAGGGCGGCCCUGCAGAGAUGCCGAGCAUUCCUUCCAAAGGGGGGCGAGCCCAGGAAUCUGUGUUUUCCUACCGAGGCUGACCUCAGGCUCCGUCAGCCUCUGAGUCUCCACAGCUGCAUCCCUGGGCUCUAUCAGCCACCAGUCUCCAAGCCACGGAUUGAAGCGCUUUUCAACCAGGAGAUAAGGACAUUGGUUUGGCGACACACAAUAGUCUAGUCUUGUCUUUUCAAGGAAGCUGUGAUUUUUCAAGACACCAGAUUUCUAACUGUACCAACCACUUAACAUCACACACACAUGAAGUGAUGGGCAGGAGUUACACACAUUGAUCUUCUGAACCUAUUUCCUUCCGUCUUUGCACCAUUGUUCCCUUUGUGCCCAACCUUCACGUCAUGAAGGCCACGCAGUCUCUCAAAUCCCGAGGCUACGUAAAGGAACAGUUACCCUGGAGACAUUUCUACUGGUACCUUACCAACGUGGGUAUCCAGUAUCUCCGUGAUUACCUCCACCAACCCCCCGAGAUUGUGCCUGCCACUCUGGGCCGCAGCUGACCUGAGACCGGCAGGCCACGGCCCAAAGGUCUGGAGGGAGAGCGACCUGCAAGACUCACACAAGGGGAAGCUGACAAAGACACCUACAGACGAAGCGCUGGACCCCCUGGCGCCGACAAGAAAGCUGAGGCCGGGGCUGGGCCAGCAACCGAGUUCCAGCUUAGAGGCGGAUUUGGUCGUGGACAUGGUCAGCCACCUCAGUAAAAUUGGAGAUUGUUUUGUGUUGAAUAAAUCGAUAGCCAGAAAAACAUUAAAAAAUAUAUAUAUAUAUAUAUUAGGCCAAAUUAGGUGGGUCAGUCUGGUCUGUGUUGCUUGGCAGAGGUUCAAAUCUCCUCCACCUCGGCCUUCAGAAAGUCGGAAGAAGCCAAGAUGAAUCUCAAUCUCCGUUUCAACUGUAAGUAACAAGAAAGAAAGAAAAAAGAAAGAAAAGAAAGAAAGAAAGAAAGAAAGAAAGAAAGAAAAGAAAGAAAAAAAAAGAAAGAAAGAAAGAAAGAAAGAAAAAGAAAAAGAAAGAAGAAAGAAAAAGAAGAAUGAGGAAAUGAAAUCAAACUUUAAAAUUUUUCUCCAGGACAAAAAAAAAAAAAGAGGGUGUGUUUGUAUUCUCUCUUUUUCCUGCCUGUCCCAUUGUAUAUGAUUUCACAUCCCAAGAAUUUCUGUUACAAGUCAGACCCAGCUCUGCCUUUGAAAGAGGCAGCCAAGUGCAGUUAUGGGAACGAAGGGUAUCUCGUCUACGAGGCCAGCAUUGAGGGAUAAGCUGCGGCUCUUAAACGUUGGGGAACAGGAGUGACAAGAGCUUCCUGAAACUGUGAAGUCCUGGCCCAAGGGAUGCAGCUCAGUCACACCGUCAGGGGACUCUGGAGCAAGUGAGUUGGGGAGGGGCAGUCGCUGAGAAACACUGCAAAUUAGAGCAAAACACCUCUGGCUCUGGCAGCCUGUAGGCCUCGGGGAGGACCAGAAGCUUAGGGGGUGAAGAAGUUGAAGUCGUAAGUAUGGACAUCCUUUUAAAAAUGGUUAGAAAGGGAAAGGAAGAAAUUGAACAAUAGCUGGUGGUAGGUGUCAGGAGGAAGGAAGAUACCGUGUACCUUUUUUUUUUUUUUUAAAGAAUGGAAAGAUUUAGGGCGCCUGGGUGGCUCAGUGGUUGAGCGUCUGCCUUUGGUUCAGGGCAUGAUCCCGGGGUCCUGGGAUCAAGUCCCACAUCAGGGUCCCCGUGGGAGCCGGCUUCUCCCUCUGCCUGUGUCUCUGCCUCUCUAUGUCCCUCAUGAAUAAAUAAAUAAAAUCUUAAAAAAAAAAAAAAAAAAGAAUGGCAAGAUUUAAAUGUAUUUAUGUGCUUAAAUGAAAGGACUGAUAGAGAGGUUGGAGAUUACAGGAGAACAGAAGAUGACCGGAGUCUAGGCCCCAGGAGGUAAGAGCACUGAGGAUCCAGCUCAUCGCCAGUGCGAGACCAACCAGCUUUGCAGAGGAAUAGGGAACUGUAUCCUCGGAGUCAGGAGGCAACCUGAGGAACCUUCUGGGAUAAGAGUAAAUGGACGGAGUCCUAAAGUUCCUAUACAAGUGUUGCUUGGUCGUUUGAACUUAUUUGAAGUGUUGAAAUAGGGAAUAGGACUUAGAGAAGAAAAAAAAAAUGCAUACCCAGGAAAGCUCUAGUUGUCGGAGCCCAACCAGCGGUUCCCAGAUGUUCAGGAGAAAUGGCUCUAUCUUCUCACCAAAAAAGGGCUGAUUGGAGUCCUAGCCUCUCCUCGUGGCUGCUAACUGACCCUCUUGUUAAAAACAUCCUGCACGGAUGACUUAUUUGAGGCCAGUGACCCGGUGGUUCUCGGGGGACAAUAUCUCGCAAAGCCCCAGGCAGUGCUAAGGGCUCUAACCCAGUGUUUCUCACGUCUGUUUUGCAUUAUAUGCGAGUCGUGCACGUAUAGCAAGAGCGAGCAGCAGGAAAGGGGGGGGGGGGGAAGUCCCUCGCAGUCACGCAAAGAUGUGCCUUUUAAGACCUGGUUGCCACCCUAGCUCCCCCCAGGAUGCCCCGACAGCCCUGGCCUCCCGGCAUUCAGGGCCGCGUGUCGUCCCCUCACACACGGACUCGAGGCCGGCCCUGCGUGCCGCGGCCAGGGCAAAGGUGCAGCUUGGGGGCCGAGGCCAUAGAAGGCCGCGGAGCUUCCCCGGUGACCGGUGGGUGUCGGUAGCAGCAUCUUCACAUUUGGGGCCAGAGAAUUCUUUGCCUUGGGAGGCCGUUUUGGGUGCUGUAAGGGGUCUCAAGCACCCGGGUCUCUACCCGUUAGGGGCUCAGCUGUAAGAGACCAAUGUCCCCAGACCCUGCUGAAGGACCUCGGGGUGCGGGGUAAAGCUGUCCCCAGCUGCUGGCUCGGGGGAAAGCAGCUCCCAAACAUCGUGACACGGCUCAGGGAGGAACUGAGUGCCCCCCAGCCAAGGACGGACCCCAGGGGCCAUCACUGUAGGAAAGCCACCCGAGAGUGGGUCCAGCCCCAGACACCCGGGCUCCAGCCAAAACUGGUGGCGAACACGCGGGAGCCAGGGAGACCCCGACGGAUGGCCCCCAAAUUCUUGACCCACGGAAACCAGGGGAGAUCAUCAUGAUUGUGUUUUAAAAGCCACCCAGUUUGGGGGAGACUCGCUCAGUAGGUGCCUUGUUAGGCAUCACCCUUGAUGUUUGAAUCCCAGGGCCACACACAGGAGAUGUGCACUGUCUCCAAAAUCCUUUUUCUUUCUGGAGAGCGUUUCCCUCAGGUCCAGGUGGAGAAUGGUGAUCGGCACCACUGUCUGCUCCGCACACAGAAUUAUCCUGUGAACCUGAAUUAUUCACAGCAUUUCAGUUGGCGGGGAGAAGCAUAAACGCUAGCCCUAAGGAGUGUGGCGGGAGGGGAUGCUGGCUCCCAAGUCUUAGCUAUCGCAUCCCAAUUGUGAACUACGUUCCUGUCCCCAAAGCAAUGACAUACUUGCAGGAACCCCGGCCCUGUCUGGCCGGGUGUGUAGGACAAAGGGGGCCUCCGUCGGGCUCAGGCCAGGUCACCGCGGGAGGCAGGGGGCGAGGGACCUGGGGCGUUGUGCUGAUUCAGGCUGAUUAUCCAGGGGCCUGCCCACCUCCGUGGCCUGAAGGACAAUGACAAUAUCAUCUGCUGCCUAAAAAACCAAAUCGGGGGGCAGCCCGGGUGGCCCAGUGGUUUAACACCGCCUUCGGCCCAGGGCCUGAUCCUGGAGACCCGGGAUCGAGUCCCAUGUCGGGCUCCCUGCAUGGAGCCUGCUUCUCCCUCUGCGUGUGUCUCUAUGAAUAAAUAAAUAAAACUUUAAAAAAAAUCGAUAU
rnacentral:lncRNA from 1 species